CCGUACGGCUGGCCGGAGGUGGGCUGCUGGCCGUACGGGGCGGCCGGCGGCUGGGGAGCGGUCGGGUCCUGGUUGGGCUGCUGGCCGUACGGG
rnacentral:tRNA from 1 species